GACGUAGGGCGCAAGCGUUGUCCGGAUUUAUUGGGCGUAAAGAGCUCGUAGGCGGCUUGCCGCGUCGACUGUGAAAACCCGUGGCUCAACCAUGUGGUCUGCAGUCGAUACGGGCAGGCUAGAAUUCGGUAGGGGAGACUGGAAUUCCUGGUGUAGCGGUGAAAUGCGCAGAUAUCAGGAGGAACACCGGUGGCGAAGGCGGGUCUCUGGGCCGAUAUUGACGCUGAGGAGCGAAAGCGUGGGGAGCGAACAGG
rnacentral:rRNA from 1 species